rfam:Oryza nivara chromosome 10, whole genome shotgun sequence.
AAAAAAUCAAACCCUGAGUUUCCGUGUCCAAUUUUGACGGUCCGUCUUAUAUGAAUUUUUUUUAUAAUUCAUAUUUUUAUUGUUGUUAGAUGAUAAAAUAUGAUUAAUAUUUUAUGCGUGACUUGUCUUUUUAAUUUUUUUUUAUAAUUUUUUAAAUAAAACGGACGGUCAAACGUUUGGCACGGAAAUCAGGGUUUGUCCUUUUU